CUGAUCAAUACAGCUUUGCCGGAGGAAUGUUCUGACAAACUUGCCUCCUCAUGUAUGAUAAAAGAAUGAGCCAGAGUCAAUCAAGCUCAAGUCUUUGACCAGGUCUAAGAGAAAAAUAAACCAAUUGAAGCUCACAGAUCCCCCCGAAGCCCUGCAAAGCGGUCUGCAGUAGUUCAGAUGAAGCUCAAGUGAUAAUCUGACUUCAUCCCCUCCCUACUCCUAAGGCUUUUCCAGAAUGAUGAGGAGACCCACAGCGGAGCCAUGAAGCAGCAGAGGCUAUGAACCACAUAUAUGGGAGGAUGGAGGGUCUGCACUAUGGAGAGUCCACCACCUAUUGAGAAGAGCAGUAUGGAGCCAACAUCUCUAGUCCCUUUUUCUCAAUCAGCUACACCCAAUGCAUGGGCCACAGGCAGAACAGCAGAGUGAAAAGAACACAGGCUUUGGAAUCAAUGAGACCCAGUUUUGUACCCCGGCUCUGCCACUUCUGGCUGUAUGACACCGGACGAGUUUCCUUCGUACCUCAGUUUCCUCAUAUUAUAGUAGCACUGCUGACAACUCAUAAACCACAACACUGUAAACGUUUGCAGCUCAAUGUCUGGCCAUAGCAGAAUUCAAACAUUACGAACAUACUCGUGUGUUUUGCAAACAGUUGAUC